CCCUUAGAUGUUCUGGGCUGCACGCGCGCUACACUGAUGCAUUCAACGAGUUUAUAACCUUGCCCGAUAGGGUUGGGUAAUCUUUUGAACAUGCAUCGUGAUGGGGAUAGAUUAUUGUAAUUAUUAAUCUUCAACGAGGAAUUCCUAGUAAGCGCUAGUCAUCAGCUAGUGCUGAUUACGUCCCUGCCCUUUGUACACACCGCCCGUCGCUGCCUCCGAUUGAAUGAUCCGGUGAAUAUUUCGGACUGACGCCUUGUUUGGUUCGCCGAACUUGGUGUUGGAAAGUUGAGUAAACCUUAUCAUUUAGAGGAAGCAAAAGUCGUAACA
rnacentral:rRNA from 1 species